AUUGAACGCUGGCGGCAGGCCUAACACAUGCAAGUCGAACGGUAACAGGAAGAAGCUUGCUUCUUUGCUGACGAGUGGCGGACGGGUGAGUCAUGUCUGUGAAACUGCCUGAUGGAGGGGGAUAACUACUGGAAACGGUAGCUAAUACCGCAUAAUGUCGCAAGACCAAAGAGGGGGACCUUCGGGCCUCUUGCCAUCGGAUGUGCCCAGAUGGGGUUAGCUAGUAGGUGGGGUAACGGCUCACCUAGGCGACGAUCCGUAGCUGGUCUGAGAGGAUGACCAGCCACACUGGAACUGAGACACGGUCCAGACUCCUACGGGAGGCAGCAGUGGGGAAUAUUGCACAAUGGGCGCAAGCCUGAUGCAGCUAUGCCGCGUGUAUGAAGAAGGCCUUCGGGUUGUAAAGUACUUUCAGCGGGGAGGAAGGGAGUAAAGUUAAUACCUUUGCUCAUUGACGUUACCCGAAGAAGAAGCACCGGCUAACUCCGUG
rnacentral:rRNA from 1 species